CUGCGAUGUACUCGUCUUAAAGAUUAAGCCAUGCAUGCCUAAGUACAAACUUGGUAGAGUGAAACUGCGGAUAGCUCAUUACAACGCCUACAUUUUUCUUGAUUGUCAAUCUACAGGAUAACCGUAGAAAAUCUAGAGCUAAGACUUGCAUUGAUAUCCAGCCUUUACUGGCUGGAUGCAUUUUUCUGAUAUCCGAUCGCAAGUUGCCGUAAGGCUUCAGGCGAAAGGUGAUUCUAGAUGACUUUGCUGAUCGUAUGGCUUUAUGCCGACGACAGAUCAAAUAAAAUCGCGCCCUAUCAAUUUGUAGUUAGGAUAUUUUCCUAACUAGAUUACGACGGGUCACGGGGAAUCAGGGUUCGAUUCCGGAGAGGCAGCUUGAGAUAUCGCUACCACAUCUAAGGAAGGCAGCAGGCGCGCAAAUUACCCACUCCCGAACUGGGGAGGUAGUGACGAGAAAUAUCAGUCUAACUCUUUGAGCAAUAGACUGGAAUGGACGAAAUUCAGGUCCAUUCGUGAAUACUANCGANGGGCAAGUCUGGUGCCAGCAGCCGCGGUAAUUCCAGCUUCGCACGUACAUGUAAAAUUUGUUGCAUUUAAAAAGCUCGUAGUCGGACUGUUUCACGACGUUUUGUUCAAAGCCAGUUGCAACUCGGCUAACCAGUUUCGAAGGGUUUUGAACUGGUAAAUUGGUCGUUGCAACUGGAUGAAUAGUCGUGAACAAUUACAAAUUUCGCUCCUACACUUAAUUGUGUGGGGGAUUGAAUAUUUGUAGACGUACCUUGAACAAAUCGGUUUGUUCAAAACAGGCCAUAUCGAGCGCCUGGACAUUCGAGCAUGGAAUGAUCGAUCGAGACCUGAUCGUUUGGUCGGAAACGAAUAAGGUCCAGGUCAAAAGGGACAUUUGGGGGCAUACGAACUCGGCAGCGAGAGGUGAAAUUCUAAGACCUGCCGAGGUCGAACUAAAGCGAAAGCAUUUGCCAAGAAUGUUUUCAUUGAUCAAGAACGAAAGUUGGAGGAUCAAAAACGAUCAGAUACCGUUGUAGUUCCAACUUUAAACUAUGCCGACUGUUGGGGCCAGUUCGGUAUAUCCGUACUUAUUGACCUCCCAGGGAAACCAUAGUAGGGUU
rnacentral:rRNA from 1 species